UUUAAGUGGUCAUGAUUUUUCGUAUCCAACUUUGAUCGUCCGUCUUAUUUGAAAUAUUUUUAUGAUUAGUAUUUUUAUUGUUAUUAGAUAAUAAAACAUGAAUAGUACUUUAUGUGUGACUUAUGUUUUUAAUUUUUUUCAAUUUUUUUAAAUAAAACGAACUGUUAAAAAUUGUACACGAAAACUUAUGGCUGCACUUAAA
rfam:Oryza barthii chromosome 12, whole genome shotgun sequence.